rnacentral:rRNA from 1 species
UUGGAAUUUUUUACGGCAGACUACAGAUGCGAGGCGUUUGUCUAGACCGUUUCAUUAAUCAAGAACGAAAGUGAGAGGUUCGAAGACGAUCAGAUACCGUCCUAGUUCCCACUAUAAACUAUGCCGACCUGGGAUCAGUUUAGUGAUUUACAAGCUCUAGGUUGGUCCCCCUGGGAAACCUCAAGUUUUUCGGUUACGGGGAGAGUAUGGUCGCAAGUCUGAAACUUAAAGGAAUUGACGGAAGGGCACCCCCAGGGGUGGAGCCUGCGGCUUAAUUUGACUCAACACGGGGAAACUUACCUGGUCCGGACAUCGAAAGGAUAGACAGAAUAAUAGAUCUUACUUGAUGCGGUGAGUGGUGGUGCAUGGCCGUUCUUAGUUCGUGGAGUGAUCUGUCAGGUUUAUUCCGGUAACGAACGAGACCACCUUCUCCAUUUAAGAAACAGUAGCAGACUGCUGGCUGAUAGCUAUUUUCGCUAAACGAGUCACGUAGGCUACGCAAGAGAAGGUUACUAAUAUUGAGGAAAGGGUGGGGAUAAAGGGUGACGCUGCUUGCGUUAGGAAUGGAAGGGCCGAGUGCUUCCCCACUGGGACCAGAGUUGCGCGUUACCUUUGCGCUGCCUUAUGGAUAGUCAAAGCCAGAGCAAAGCCGACGAACAGCGACGAGACCCCUCACUUGUGCCCUUCUACACGCGCGCUACAUGCACACGACAUGAUCACCCGGCCGAAGCCGUGCCGAAGAAUAACGUACCAUGAUGGUAUUGACUAUGAAUGUCGAUGUGAAUUCGAAUCCUAUUGUGUCCUUUUUUUACAGUUAUAAAAUGUCCCGUCCUUUCCUCGCUAUCUCUUCUCUUCCGUUUAAUAGCGUGGGAUGUUGAUACGGGUUUUUC